CCUCCUCCCUUCAGAAGUUCCGCCCUGGACCUCCAUCUGAUGCCGGGAGGAUGAGGGUCCCCAAGGACUUUGCAGCCGACUCCAUGACUUGUGCAGGGGAUGGCUGAGCCCAGGAAAGCACAGCAAAGCACAGAUGCUGGACCUGGUGGUUCUGGAGCAGCUCCUAGCUCUCCUGCCCCCAGAGAUGGAGGGUGAGGGAGUGUGGAGCAGAGAGCAGCUCCCAGGCGGUGACCCUGGUGGAAGGCUUCCUCCUGAGCCAGGCGGAAGAGCAGAAGGAGCAGCUCCGGUGGCAGCGCUGCACUGUGGAGAUCAGAGAUCCUGAGGGAAAGAAGAACCCAUCAAAUCCCCCUCAGGAACUAUUUUUCAGGAGGAUCCCUUGGGAAGACCCAAGUCAGGACACCUCAGGAG